CUACGGGGUGCAGCAGUAGGGAAUAUUGGACAAUGGGGGAAACCCUGAUCCAGCGAUGCCGCGUGAGUGAAGAAGGCCCUCGGGUUGUAAAACUCUUUCAUUUGUGAUGAUAAUGACAGUAGCAAAAGAAGAAGCUCCGGCUAACUCCGUGCCAGCAGCCGCGGUAAUACGGGGGGAGCUAGCGUUGUUCGGAAUUACUGGGCGUAAAGGGUGCGUAGGCGGUUUAGUAAGUAAGAUGUGAAAUACCCGGGCUUAACCCUGGUGCUGCAUUUUAUACUGCUAUGACUUGGAUACAAGAGAGGAAAGUGGAAUUCCUAGUGUAGAGGUGAAAUUCGUAGAUAUUAGGAGGAACACCGGAGGCGAAGGCGGCUUUCUGGCUUUGUAUCGACGCUGAGGCACGAAGGCGUGGGGAGCAAACAGGAUUAGAUACCCUAGUAGUC
rnacentral:rRNA from 1 species